rfam:Myotis lucifugus cont2.6942, whole genome shotgun sequence.
AGACACCCUUCUGGGGCAAGACUUGCUUCAGUGGGGCUUUGGUGCUCACUGAGUCUGCCCCCUGAAUGUGUCCCU